GGAUGGAAGUCCAUGCUCAUAACAUUAGAUCCUUGAUUAAGGGACCGUACAACAGUUUUAGCCAGGUCAUCCUGUGAAUAGACAUUGGGAGUAUGUGCUACACCAGAAAAUGACACCUCAUCAGAUUGGCCAGUGCGCAUACGCUUCAUCAAGUGCUCUGAAUCAGCUGAUUGAUAAUCAAUCCCAGUCAUACCUGUGGGUGUUCUUGGGUGUUUCAAGAAGGCAGCUGCACUAGAAGGCUGCACAAGACCAGGAGGCCCUGCUGCCACAGCAGGGUGAGGCAAAG
rnacentral:misc_RNA from 1 species